rnacentral:rRNA from 1 species
AAAUUGAAGAGUUUGAUCAUGGCUCAGAUUGAACGCUGGCGGCAGGCCUAACACAUGCAAGUCGAACGGUAACAGGAAUCAGCUUGCUGAUUCGCUGACGAGUGGCGGACGGGUGAGUAAUGUCUGGGAAACUGCCUGAUGGAGGGGGAUAACUACUGGAAACGGUAGCUAAUACCGCAUAAUGUCGCAAGACCAAAGAGGGGGACCUUCGGGCCUCUUGCCAUCGGAUGUGCCCAGAUGGGAUUAGCUUGUUGGUGGGGUAACGGCUCACCAAGGCGACGAUCCCUAGCUGGUCUGAGAGGAUGACCAGCCACACUGGAACUGAGACACGGUCCAGACUCCUACGGGAGGCAGCAGUGGGGAAUAUUGCACAAUGGGCGCAAGCCUGAUGCAGCCAUGCCGCGUGUAUGAAGAAGGCCUUCGGGUUGUAAAGUACUUUCAGCGGGGAGGAAGGGAGUAAAGUUAAUACCUUUGCUCAUUGACGUUAUCCGCAGAAGAAGCACCGGCUAACUCCGUGCCAGCAGCCGCGGUAAUACGGAGGGUGCAAGCGUUAAUCGGAAUUACUGGGCGUAAAGCGCACGCAGGCGGUUUGUUAAGUCAGAUGUGAAAUCCCCGGGCUCAACCUGGGAACUGCAUCUGAUACUGGCAAGCUUGAGUCUCGUAGAGGGGGGUAGAAUUCCAGGUGUAGCGGUGAAAUGCGUAGAGAUCUGGAGGAAUACCGGUGGCGAAGGCGGCCCCCUGGACGAAGACUGACGCUCAGGUGCGAAAGCGUGGGGAGCAAACAGGAUUAGAUACCCUGGUAGUCCACGCCGUAAACGAUGUCGACUUGGAGGUUGUGCCCUUGAGGCGUGGCUUCCGGAGCUAACGCGUUAAGUCGACCGCCUGGGGAGUACGGCCGCAAGGUUAAAACUCAAAUGAAUUGACGGGGGCCCGCACAAGCGGUGGAGCAUGUGGUUUAAUUCGAUGCAACGCGAAGAACCUUACCUGGUCUUGACAUCCACGGAAGUUUUCAGAGAUGAGAAUGUGCCUUCGGGAACCGUGAGACAGGUGCUGCAUGGCUGUCGUCAGCUCGUGUUGUGAAAUGUUGGGUUAAGUCCCGCAACGAGCGCAACCCUUAUCCUUUGUUGCCAGCGGUCCGGCCGGGAACUCAAAGGAGACUGCCAGUGAUAAACUGGAGGAAGGUGGGGAUGACGUCAAGUCAUCAUGGCCCUUACGACCAGGGCUACACACGUGCUACAAUGGCGCAUACAAAGAGAAGCGACCUCGCGAGAGCAAGCGGACCUCAUAAAGUGCGUCGUAGUCCGGAUUGGAGUCUGCAACUCGACUCCAUGAAGUCGGAAUCGCUAGUAAUCGUGGAUCAGAAUGCCACGGUGAAUACGUUCCCGGGCCUUGUACACACCGCCCGUCACACCAUGGGAGUGGGUUGCAAAAGAAGUAGGUAGCUUAACCUUCGGGAGGGCGCUUACCACUUUGUGAUUCAUGACUGGGGUGAAGUCGUAACAAGGUAACCGUAGGGGAACCUGCGGUUGGAUCACCUCCUUACCUUAAAGAAGC